rnacentral:piRNA from 1 species
UUGCAAUUGAAGGCCCAGGACUGAA